ensembl:lncRNA
GGCUGAACAGAGUGAAGUGUCGAGGGGAUGAGAUUCACCUGUGGGACUGUCAUCAUUCCCUGAAGAAACACACUGACUGCUCUCCUGCUGGAGUCACCUGUGCAGACGUGUCCACUACUACACCCAUCACCACCACCACCACCACCACCACCACAUCAGUAAGAGCUCCUCCAAAUCCUCCAGCACCUAAAGCUCCACCCACCCCUCCACUGGUUCUCUUUGUGUUGGGAACGCUGCUCUUCCUGGCCUUAGUGCUUCUGCUGGUCCUGUUUUACCAGAACAGAGUGCUCAGGAGAGUUGUCUCUAAGAGGAGGCGUAAGACUCAGCCUGAGGCAGUCUAUGAGGAGAUCAACC